AACGCGAAGAACCUUACCAGGGCUAGAAUGCCUCUGACAACCCUAGAGAUAGGGCUUCUUAGGGAAACCUAGGCAGAGUGCAAGGUGCUGCAUGGCUGUCGUCAGCUCGUGUCGUGAGAUGUUGGGUUAAGUCCCGCAACGAGCGCAACCCUUAUCUUUAGUUGCUAGCGGUUCGGCCGAGCACUCUAGAGAGACUGCCGUUGACAAAACGGAGGAAGGUGGGGAUGACGUCAAGUCCUCAUGGCCUUUAUGUCCUGGGCUACACACGUGCUACAAUGGCCGGUACAAAGCGCUGCAAACUCGCGAGAGGGAGCCAAUCGCAAAAAGCCGGUCUCAGUUCGGAUUGGAGUCUGCAACUCGACUCCAUGAGGCUGGAAUCGCUAGUAAUCGCAGAUCAGCACGCUGCGGUGAAUACGUUCCCGGGUCUUGUACACACCG
rnacentral:rRNA from 1 species